rnacentral:rRNA from 1 species
CGUGCCUAAUACAUGCAAGUCGAGCGCGGGAAGCGGACAAUCACCCUUCGGGGUGUGCGUCCGUGGAACGAGCGGCGGAUGGGUGAGUAUCGACGUGGGCAACCUGCCUGUAAGAUUGGGAUAACUCGCGGAAACGUGAGCUAAUACCGAAUGAAGUCUUUCGCCGCCUGGUGAAAGGAUGAAAGAUGGCUCUUGAGCUAUCACUUACAGAUGGGCCCGCGGCGCAUUAGCUAGUUGGUGGGGUAAAGGCCUACCAAGGCGACGAUGCGUAGCCGACCUGAGAGGGUGAUCGGCCACACUGGGACUGAGACACGGCCCAGACUCCUACGGGAGGCAGCAGUAGGGAAUCUUCCGCAAUGGACGAAAGUCUGACGGAGCAACGCCGCGUGAAGUGAUGAAGGUCUUCGGAUCGUAAAACUCUGUUGUCAGGGAAGAACAAGUUGUGUUCUAACAGGACAUGACCUUGACGGUACCUGACCAGAAAGCCCCGGCUAACUACGUGCCAGCCGCCGC